AGAGUGAACGCUGGCGGUAGGCCUAACACAUGCAAGUCGAACGGCAGCACAGUGGUAGCAAUACCAUGGGUGGCGAGUGGCGGACGGGUGAGGAAUACAUCGGAAUCUACCUUUUCGUGGGGGAUAACGUAGGGAAACUUACGCUAAUACCGCAUACGCCCUUCGGGGGAAAGCCGGGGAUCGCAAGACCUGGCGCGGAUAGAUGAGCCGAUGUCGGAUUAGCUAGUUGGUGAGGUAAUGGCUCACCAAGGCGACGAUCCGUAGCUGGUCUGAGAGGAUGAUCAGCCACACUGGAACUGAGACACGGUCCAGACUCCUAGGGAGGCAGCAGGUGGGAAUAUGGACAAUGGGCGCAAGCCUGAUCCAGCCAUACCGCGUGGGUAGAAGAAGGCCGUUCGGUUAGUAAACGUCC
rnacentral:rRNA from 1 species